rnacentral:lncRNA from 1 species
UUCUUAACUCUUCUCCUUUGUUAACGUUGUAAUAUUUUGGCAGGCUGAUGUGUUGGAGCAUUUCACCUGAUUUCUUCCCUCUUGCCAUGACUUAGUUGUUGGAAGUUUCAGACUCACAUCUUUAACCUUGUUGUACUGUUAUGCAGAGAGAUGAGACAUUCAGUUCAUCCAGAUUGUGUUGGAGCAUUAAAUCAGUGGAUUAUGGACAUUAAUUAUGCUUUUUGUAGGAUUCGUUUCUGGGGAUUGCCUUCCAGCAUUGUUUUUCAAAUUUUAUUUUAAUGAUUUGUUGGAUUUUCUUGAUGACUAAUCACUGACUGUUUGUGUGUUUCUCUCCACUUUGGCUUCUUCACCACUAAUUCUGGGGAUUGCCUUCCAGCAUUGUUUUUCAAAUUUUAUUUUAAUGAUUUGUUGGAUUUUCUUGAUGACUAAUCACUGACAGUUUGUGUGUUUCUCUCCACUUUAGCUUUUUCACCACUAAUCCUCCUUUACUUUUUUCUUUUAACUUGGUUAUCUCUUUUACUUUUCUGGGGUCAUUUAACUAUUGAGAGUUCAGAAAGCAGCCUGAUGCUUGCCUCUGCUAUUCCUCCCAAAAGGUGAUGCAUCUUCAAAUUUUCAAGGUUCCCAGGGUAUGUGAAUUUGAUAGUAUGAUGACUGCAUUCACAUGUCUACGAAUUAAUUUUAUUACUCAUUCUGAUACAUUUUCCAGAUGUCUUGUGACAGGAAAAGAUGCUUGUAUUGGAAUAUGAUAUCCCGUGCUGGACUGAUUUGUGUUUGAAAAUUACUCUUCUUGUUGGGUAUCUUAAUUAGAACUUUAUUUUGGAUUUUCUGUGAUGUUUAUCAAGAAAGUUUUCUGUGCAAAUGGGAAUUUCUGUGAGGAUGAGUAGCAUUUAAAUGUGAUGGGCUAAACUAGGACAUUUCUAACCUGGUUAUGAACUUUUUAUUUGAAGGGGGCGGGGUGUGUGGGAAUCAAGUACAUGACUAUUUCAAUACUCUUCCAAUGAAGAGCACUGCUAUAGCAGGAAGCUAGCAGUCACUUUGAAUUUGACAUUGUUAUCUUAGAUUUUGAUUUGUGGCUCGGAAGUCUUAGAGAAACGGAAAGCACUAGCAGACAAAGUGGUUGAAUCACAUAGUAAAUAGGAGAUCUUGUGAGGAUGAAUAUAUUUGUACAUCUCUUCUUUUAUUCUUGUGAAUACAUAGUUGAGACAUUUCAAGCUACAUCUCCGCAGAAGUGUUUUUUCUACUUUUUGCUCUUCAGGGCUUUGCUCUCAUCCAAUCAUUUUCUUGAGAUGUAAUUUGUUUCUGUUAAUUUAUUUAAUUUUUUUGGGUAAAGAACUUGGGUGGGACGGGUGUUCACAAAUUAACUGUGGAUAGUUUUGGUUGGAACCCGAGACAUGGCUUCUUGUGUGGGUUCUCAUGUAGGAACUAUGCUCAUUAAUGCCUUAUAUUUCUGUUUGUCAUAGUGGGGUCUUCUCUUUACUGAUCCACCAAAUGUCUGGUAUUCUUGAGACAACUAGUACACCUAAAUGUCUUUGCUAAGAUUGUAGGACCAUUCAAGCUUCUGGUGUGGUCGAUCAUAUUUUUGCAUAGGGCUCUAUUGGGGUUGAGAUGUUGAGUAGUUGAACUUUAGCCUGUAUGGUGAGUUUGGAUAAUGUGUGGAAGCUUAGUAUUUCUGUUAAGCGUUGGUUUUGGCAUCUGGUAUUUUUGGAUAUAGGUUCACUAUUGCUGUAUUAUUUUGUUUCUUUUUCCUUUUUAAACCUUCUGUUUUAGACUAACUUCUUUCAGUUGGUUGUUAGUAGCGUGUACUGAUAGCAGGGAUGGCUCCCCAUUUCAGAAGAUCUCUUGAUUCAUCCUUUCACUGGUGGACAAGUUAAUAUUUGGCGUACAGGAAGAACUCAUCUAGGCACUUGUUAGUUCUGAAGAAUCAUUUGUAUUCUUUAGGUUAUAUUUGAACCUAUAUUUCUUUGGGGGUGGGGUGGGGGGUCUAUUUUUAGUUGUUUUUGCUUAACUAUACAUGAUUUUUCUUUCGUCUUUGUCCCCUCCUUUCCAUGAAUCAGGAUCUACUCGAAACUGGUUUGUUAGUAAAGAUGGUUGCCCGUCCCUAUUUUGUUUUGGUGGUCACAUCCUGGGCACGAUGUUCAUCAGUGUGAAGGUGGAUGCGUAAAUUAUUAUUUUUUUGGUAGUUGACCAAACAUUUCUGUUUACUUGCAAAAUAUCUCUCCUCUUUCUUUGUCCAUUGUUUUGUCUAGAAUUAGUGGGAGGUUGUCAAAUAGCUGGUUAACACUUGUUCGUGUUAAUUUGAUUUAUUAUCU